rnacentral:rRNA from 1 species
UGCGCAGGCGGAAUAUUAAGUCAGUGGUGAAAUCUUACGGCUCAACCGUAAAACUGCCAUUGAUACUGAUAUUCUUGAGUAUAGUUGUAGUGGGCGGAAUAUAUCAUGUAGCGGUGAAAUGCUUAGAUAUGAUAUAGAACACCGAUCGCGAAGGCAGCUCACUAAACUAUAACUGACGCUCAGGCACGAAAGCGUGGGGAGCAAACCGGAUUAGAGACCCGCGUAGUCC